UACGUAGGAUGCAAGCGUCGUCCGGAAUUAUUGGGCGUAAAGAGCGCGCAGGCGGUAUGACAAGUCAGAUGUGAAAGAGGCCGGCUUAACCGGCAAGGGUCAUUUGAAACUGUCAGACUAGAGUGCAGCAGAGGAUAGUGGAAUUCCCGGUGUAGUGGUGAAAUGCGUAGAUAUCGGGAGGAACACCAGUGGCGAAGGCGACUAUCUGGGCUGCAACUGACGCUGAGGCGCGAAGGCUAGGGUAGCAAACAGG
rnacentral:rRNA from 1 species